GGCUAUGGUAAAGACUUUGGAGUAAGGUUUAGCAGUGAGAAAAGCAAAGUAAUGAUUGUGAAUAGGUCAGAGGAUGAAAGUAAUGUGGUAUGGAGACUUGGAGAGAAUGAGUUGAGACAGGUGCAAGAAUACAAGUACUUAGGGAUGUGGAUGAGUCCUAGUGGGUGUGCAAAGGCAAAGAAUGAAAAGAUAAGUAUGGUAAACCAGUGGGUAGGUCGACUGGGAAGCGCGGCAAGGGAUGAGAGCAAGUAAGUAUGAUGUGUUGAGAGAAGUGUGGAAGAGUGUGGCUGUGCCAUGUAUAAUGUAUGGUAUGGAUGUGAUUGCAUGGAAUGAAAGUGAAAUUGAUAAGUUAGAAGUGGGCCAGAAUAGAGUAGCAAGGAUGGCACUGAGUGCACCGAGGUGCACAGCAGUUGAAGCCUUGAGAGGUGACAUGGGAUGGAGCACCUUCAGAGAAAGACUGACAAAAGCCACACUUAGGUACAAGAUUAGGCUUGAGAGAAUGGAUGAUGCAAGAAUAGCAAGGAAGGUGUACCUGUGGAAUGAAAGUGGAAGCAAAUGGAGGAAGAGAUGCAUGAGAAUGACAGACAGGAAUGGAUUGCAAGUUGUGUGGGCGAUAAGAAUGGCUGGUAGGAAUCAAAAUGAGCGUGAAUGGGUGGUAACAAGAGGAGGCAGAGUGGGAGCCGAAUGGGAUGUGAGAAAAAUGGAAGAAUGAGAUAGACAAAGAAGUGAAAUGUGUGGGACUGAAUGAAUGGAAGAAUGAAAUGGAAAGAAAGAAGACCCUGGAAUGGUACAAGGAGAAAGAGGCCCCGAGGUAUGAAAGGUGGUAUGAUGGAAGCCUGGGCGGUGAUCUUCUCUUCCGAGCGAGGGCACAGUGUAUGGAUGUGAAUGCAAGGAGUUACAGGUGGUCUGAGUCCCGCAGCAAAGUGUGCCAGAUGUGUGACAUGGGAGAGGAUGAGACGGUGGAACAUGUGGUGCUGGAGUGUGUGAAGUAUGCCAGAGACAGGAAUGAGAUGAUGCAAGUGAUACUGACUGAGUUAGGGCAUGAUAGGAAUGAAAGAGUGGAGAAGACAGGAAAGGAAUGGACUGUGUAGAGAGGCGAAUGAAAGGAUGAUUGAGGCGGUGAAAGAGUUUCUGGAGAGAAUGUGGCGUGCCAGGUGUAUGAACAAUUAGGAUAGAGGAUGCUGUUCGUUUCUCUUUUUUUUUUUUUCCCCUUUGUACAGGGGUUGCCGAUCCAAAGGCCUGGCUCAAGAGUGAUCCUGUGCCGCCUGUACCAUCAAGAUCAAGAUCAAGAUCAGAUGGUGAGUCUGCUUACAAAAUUGCAUCGUAGGGAUUGAUAGGGGCAGCCACAAUUAUCCAUCAUCAUCAGCGACACCAUGGCUCUUGAGAAGACAGACAGACCCUGAUGACAGCGUGGUGAGCGAGGAGGGGGAGUCAACCAGCAGAGUAGGGGAGCAUGACCCCUACUUUGAACCAGUGGUGACCUUGCUGGAGGUCUUCGUGGUUAGUGAUGAUGACCAGGAGGAGGAAAUGAUAAGACUGAGUUUCGAGGUCAGGUCAGCAGGCAGUACAAGCUGUUUCAUUAUCACACCUCUGAGUCGCCCCCACAGUGGAAGGAACGGGGCAUGGGGGCCAUUAACAUUCUGAGGAACAAGCAGAAGAAGGCUGUGGAGUUUGUUCAGCAGCAGAAUUAAUGCCCAGUGGCUGAGUUCAGAUCCUUCAAGACACACACACACACACACACACACAGCAGCCCUUCCACUUCCCCACAGCCCUCCACAGCCCCUGACACAGCAUCUAACACAGCCCCUUCAAAGAACACCACAUACCUCACACAUACAUAAGAACAUAAGAACAUAAGAAAUAAGGGAAGCUGCAAGAAGCGAUCAGGCUUACACGUGGCAGUCCCUGUAUGAAAUAUACCUACCUAUUUCCAUCUGUUAUCCCCAUCCAUAAACUUGUCUAAUCUUCUCUUAAAGCUCUCUAGUGUAAUCUUCUCUUAAAGCUCUCUAGUGUCCUAGCACUAACUACAUGAUUACUGAGUCUGUUCCACUCAUCUACCACUCUAUUUGAGAAAAAAUUUUUUCCUAUCUCCUUCCUAAACCUAAAUUUUUCAAGCUUGUACCCGUUAUUUCUUGUUCUCCCCCUGGUUGCUGAUCCUAAGAAUUUUGCCUACAUCCCCCUUGUUAUAACCCUUAUAUCACUCAAAGACUUCUAUCAGGUCCCCUCUUAACCUACAUAUCUCCAAAGAAUGUAAAUUUAACAGCUUCAACCUCGCCUCGUAAGGAAUACUCCUCAUCCCUUGUAUCCUUUUAGUCAUUCUCCUCUGUAGUGAUUCUAAUAGACCUAUAUCUUUCCUGUAAUGUGGGGACCAGAACUGCACAGCGUAGUCUAGAUGAGGUCUGACCAGUGCCAAGUAUAACUUUAAUAUUACUUCCGGCCUUCUACUUUUAACACUCCUAAAAAUCACACACACCACAGGAGCCUCACAAACAGUCUCACAGCCUUCACAAGCAGCCCCACACUCCACCACAGACACACCAGACCCACAGCCCUUCACCUCACCCACUUCCCAGCCCCCAACAGCCCCCCAGCCACCACAAAUGAAGUGAAAGGAAGGGACUGUGGCUUCACCCAGCCAGCCAGGACAGCCUACAGAGAGGGGGUAGUCCCAGUCAAGUCACAAAAUAUAGGCUUGGUUCUUCCUACAGUUUGAAGUCAAUGAUUGGACAGCCCCACAGUUACUGACCUUGACUCAAACACCAUCACGGCACUCUCUUCCCUGUUAAACUUGCCGGGAUCCAUUGUAAUGUAAGGGGUAUUGAAUGUGAGCGAUGAAACGAGAAGGUAGUGGCAAGGGGGAAAAAAGUACAGGGGAGCGCAGGAGAGACACCUCUCUCCACUGUGCCUGACAGCGCAGGAGAGACACCUCUCUCCACUGUGCCUGACAAGUCUCUCAGUGAUUGAAAGACUGAGCAUAACAUCUUCAGGGCACAUGAGUUGCCAUGUAUGACAAUUUGGCACUUUUUCCACGUCUUCUUAUUUGAGUAGACAUAUCAUAUCUUGUCAUAAUGAAAAGUCUAGUUUAUCAUGUAUGUGGAGACCUUCAAGUUACAAUACAGCCCACUGCUUUAAGAGUUAAAUGUACAUGUCAAUGUUUUCUGUCGUGCCUUCUUUGCUGUGUAAUGUUGUGGUGAAACGGUUAAAUUCUGGACCGAGUUGUGAGUCAUGCAGCAGGAGUAUAGAUGUGUGUCUUCCCCGCAGGUGGUAACACGGAGAGGAAGUGGAAGAAACCUUGGGACGCUCCCAUAACUCAGGAGCAAGAAAUACACCUUACUGGAAACCUUGUGACUGACAGGUGGCAGUGACUGCAGGAACCAAUUCAGAUGUCUGUCUUGUGUUGGCGAACGUCCUGUCUGCAGUCAGGCCAGUAGUGCCAUGUCGCAGGGUGUGACAUCAGGUGAAGAACCAAAUGGAGAGUGUCUGCAGCCAGUACUGGGUGUGCUGAUGCUGUACAAGUGUCGAGCCAGGUGCCACAGCACAUGUCAGCUGACUCCACCAGUGUAGUGUCUCUAGUCCAGGAUGCACUGCUGUGUACGACUUGUAUGUCUUUGCUAAUAAAUAAAUAUUUGUGACUAUUCUUAUAUAUUAUAUAUGUGAAAUAAAUAUAUAGUUUGCUAACAGUGUGGUAUAAUAGUGUAAAAAUAAAUAUUUGAUAAUUCAUGCAUGCCCCAAAGGUAAAAAAAAAAAAAAAAACAGGAUUGUGCCCUCUAAACUUUUAAGAUACCACUUGCACAUAGAAGCCCCGUCGCAGCGACUCCAGUGUCGGCUGGGAUGGGGUUUCUAUGUGCAAAUGGUAUCUUAAACUUAGUUUAGUAGCCAAUCCUGACUUUUUUUUUACCUUGGGGGCAUGACCUGUACUCCCAGAAAGACUUGCCAAAGAUAUUAUUGACAUGGCAUAAAUAACUAUCAUUGUUUUUUUUACCUUGAGGGCAUGACCUGUACUCCCAGAAAGACUAUUUGCCAAAGAUAUUAUUGACAUGGCAUAAAUAACUAUCAUUAUGUUCAAGAUGGUAUACUGAAUGUUUAUUGUUUUAAUGUGAAUGUUAAGUGAAUAAAUACACAACAAUAAUAUAAA